rnacentral:pre_miRNA from 1 species
UACUACCCCGUUCCAAAAUAUCUUAUACAAUAUUUUGAUUCUUUAUCUUAUUUAAAAUUUUUUUACUAUUAAUAUUUUUUUCUUACUCGAUGAUAAAAUAUGAAUAAUAUUUUAUACGUAACUAUAUUUUUUUAGUUUUUUAUAAAUUUUUUAAAUAAGACGAAUGAUCAAACGUUGAACACGGAAAAACGAAAGACGAUCUUAUU